GGUUCCGUUCUGUUCUUGGUUCAAACGCAGACAACCCGAACCGGCAACUAUACCGACGAAGUUCGCAAUUCAGAUUAGUGUUGAAACGGAUUGGAGCACAAAGCCAAGGUUCAAGCACGAUUUGAAAGUCAUUAGUUCCGGAGAAAGCCUGAGUCGACGCCGCAGAAACGGUUGGAUUUUCUUUUUAAAUUUCAUCUUUUGAUUCGGUUUAAUGUUUAGGUUUAGUCUGCUGUAUUUUUGAUAUGGUCAUAUGUUUUGUUUUCAUUUGAUU
rnacentral:lncRNA from 1 species